UUUUAAUCUGGACCGUCCAUCGUGUUUGAUCUCGAUUGUUUGAUCGCAUUUAAAGAGGAAAUGAAUCUGGAUUGUUCAUUGCGAUUUGAUCUGGACCGUACGAUUCCGUUUAAAGAGAAAACAAAUCUUGGCUGUUCAUCACAUUUAAUCGCGACCGUCUGAUCGUGCCGGAAGAGUUAACGAAUCUGGAUCGUCCACGCGUGCGGGAAUAAAUCCGGACCAUUCGAUCGCGGGCAUGCAGAUUGCCAACGUGGCCUCCCGCGCGGCACCGAGUCAGCGUGCCUUACCAUGCGGCCCGCUCCGGUUCGUCGAGGCUGCUGACUGGGCGGUUUUAUGUGGUAUAUUUUUCUUAAAUUACGUUUUGACAUCCAGUUUCUGAUUUUUCUUUUAAAAAUACCCUCAGAACCCAAAUUUUCACCCAUUUUU
rnacentral:lncRNA from 1 species